AUGUUGAGCACCUUAGCAUGUUCACAAGGUUAUAUAAAGAUUGAUACAGUAAAUAUGUGGGCAUUAGUUGUCCUUAUUCGUGGUCUGCGUAGUCACGUUAUAGUAUUUUUGUAUGGCCGUGUGUACAAAGACGCCACUGAGAAGGCACGUCGGUUUGAGAUUUUCAAAUCCAAUGUCGGAUUCAUUGAAAUGUUCAAUUUCGCUGAUAUCAACAAUGAUGAGUUCAAGACAACCAACACAAACAAGGGGUUCAAAGCAAACGCCAUUUUUGAUGUUGUUCCAGCAACGAUGGACUGGAGAGCCAAGGGGGCUGUCACCCCUAUCAAGGAUCAAGGCCAGUGUGGUAAGUACACAAAAUAUGGCAUUGUAAAACUGAAAACCGGCAAGUUAAUCUCACUGUCAGAGCAAGAGUUGGUUGACUGUGAUGUUCAUGGUGAAGAUCAAGGCUGCGAGGGAGGACUCAUGGAUGAUGCCUUCAAAUUCAUUAUCAAGAACGGAGGUCUGACCAUGGAGUCCAGCUACCCAUAUACUGCAGCCGACGACAAGUGCAAGGCUGGAUCCAACAGCGCCGCAACCAUCACCAGCUUCGAGGAUGUGCCUGCCAAUAACGAGGGUGCCCUUAUGAAGGCGGUGGCAAACCAACCAGUGUCCGUAGCUGUGGACGGAGGUGACAUGACAUUCCAAUUCUACUCUGGUGGGGUGAUGACCGGCUCCUGCGGUACUGACUUGGACCAUGGUAUUGCGGCCAUUGGAUAUGGAAAAACUAGUGAUGGCACAAGUUAUUGGUUGAUGAAGAAUUCAUGGGGCACAACUUGGGGCGAGAAUGGGUACUUGAGAAUGGAGAAGGACAUUCCUUCAUACCCCACCAAAUAG
rnacentral:rRNA from 1 species